GAGGAACAAUACUCAAAUGCAGAAGAUGGAGAAAGAUGCACAGGAGAAUUCCGCUGGAGUCUGACGU
rnacentral:lncRNA from 1 species